CAGAGAAUAGUUUAUUUAAAAUAUUAAUUUUGGAGAUUAAUGAUAGGAGUGUUUCUUUUCUCUGA
rnacentral:tRNA from 1 species